rnacentral:rRNA from 1 species
AGAGUUUGAUCCUGGCUCAGAAUGAACGCUGGCGGCGUGCCUAACACAUGCAAGUCGGAUGUGCCGCAAGGUGCAUGGCAGACGGGUGAGUAACGCGUGGGGAAUCUACCUUUUAGUGGGGAAUAACGCUCCGAAAGGAGUGGUAAUACCGCAUGAGACCUUCGGCUGGGAUGCUGGAGGUGAAACCUGGGGACCGCAAGGCCUGGGGCUAGAAGAGGAUCCUGCGUCUGAUUAGCUAGUUGGCGGGGUAAUGGCCCACCAAGGCGACGAUCAGUAGCCGGCCUGAGAGGGUGAUCGGCCACACUGGAACUGAGACACGGUCCAGACUCCUACGGGAGGCAGCAGUGGGGAAUUUUGCGCAAUGGACGAGAGUCUGACGCAGCAACGCCGCGUGGGUGAUGAAGGUCUUCGGACUGUAAAACCCUGUCGUCAGGGACGAAGGUGGCAAGGUUAAUAACC